rnacentral:lncRNA from 1 species
GAGCGCAAUCUUUCUUUUCCUUUGAUCAUCCAAAGGAGAGUUAAGAAUAGUUGAUUCAUAAGUUUUAAGAUUACCUCGUAUUCCGUCGAUGGUGACGUUUGUGAUGCCGAUUGAUUCUUGGAUAGCAUCGGCUUUGGAACGCCAUUCCGGAGUGAGGCGUCGUAGAAUUUUCCGGACAAGCUCCUUAUCCGUGAAUGACUUUUUG